ACUUGGAUAAAUUCACAAACUUUGAGGGAUGACUUCACAUUAAGGAAUGUGUAAGUAAGCUGCAGAGAAAAUGGAUUUGCUUGGAAUUUCUAGUGAUUAUUUGGUGUUGAUGUAACUGAUUCGGCUUCAAACUGUUACAGCUCAUAGAUACCAUGUAUUAGCCGCUAUAAUUGUCCUCAAGAAUGUGAAGUAACUACAGCAAAUUAGUCAAAGUGGACAGGUUACCUAUUUUGUACAAGGAUAUUUACUGCAGUUGAGUCAAGAUGGAACAGUACAUCAAUUUCUAGCGACAAAUUAGUUGAGAUAGAUUAGUAGUGAAUGAAUUUUUACUACGUUUAAGUCAAGAUAGACAAGUACACAAUAACCAGAGAUCUAGCAAGUACACGGAUAGGUAUUACUACAAAUGACCAGUACACAAAUAGCUACAAUUAUUUUAUUUACAAAUUACAGGUAUUAAUAAUUAAUUAAUACUGUAUCAUUCUUAGACUAACAUCCCAUUACUGUGCAGAGGUCUCACUCGAAUUCAUGUCAUCUGGCAGUGUCUCUGUCAUUCCUGUUUUAUUUCAGUUUUUUUCUCUUGGUCUUCCCUUCUUUACUUCAAGGUUUUAUUGUGUUGUUACUUUAUGUAUAUCAAAGAUUAAACACCAAUAAAAAGUAUUCUCAAUUGUUAUCUACUGCCCUCAUCAAGAGCUUUUGAUAGAGGGAAGUAGAUACGAUUUUAGACCACUGAACGAUCA